CAGUCACUCGAACUUCUCAGACAACAAGCUGUCACUGCAUCUGCAGGACUUGAAGAGAAGAGAAUGUAUUUUGCGAAGAUCACGGAAGAUUUUGUUUUUAAGCUGCAGCAGGGUCAUGACCGGCUGAAAUCGUAUAAGCUGAAAAUGAUAGCAAAUCCUGUAAGGCUCAAGAACAUAAAUCAUCUUAAUUUUUGGUUUUCUUCAAUCAUUAUUCCCUAAUUGCGGGUAUGAAUUGUGAAUUUUUUACACGUUGAAUAUUCUGCUUUUCUUGUUUUGAUGAAUUUUGACGAAGUGCAUACUGAGAAGUGCUGGUUGAAUUCAUAUUAGCAGGAGAGCACUAAGUUUAGGAAUUUAAAAUCUGCUGAUAUUAGAAACUUAAAUUGG